GAUGAACGCUGGCGGCGUGCCUAAUACAUGCAAGUCGAGCGAACAGACGAGGAGCUUGCUCCUCUGACGUUAGCGGCGGACGGGUGAGUAACACGUGGAUAACCUACAUAUAAGACUGGGAUAACUUCGGGAAACCGGAGCUAAUACCGGAUAAUAUAUUGAACCGCAUGGUUCAAUAGUGAAAGACGGUUUUGCUGUCACUUAUAGAUGGAUCCGCGCCGCAUUAGCUAGUUGGUAAGGUAACGGCUUACCAAGGCAACGAUGCGUAGCCGACCUGAGAGGGUGAUCGGCCACACUGGAACUGAGACACGGUCCAGACUCCUACGGGUGGCAGCAGUAGGGAAUCUUCCGCAAUGGGCGAAAGCUUGACGGAGCAACGCCGCGUGAGUGAUGAAGGUCUUCGGAUCGUAAAACUCUGUUAUUAGGGAAGAACAAAUGUGGAAGUAACUAUGCACGUCUUGACGGUACCUAAUCAGAAAGCCACGGCUAACUACGUG
rnacentral:rRNA from 1 species